rnacentral:rRNA from 1 species
UGGGGAAUAUUGCACAAUGGGGGAAACCCUGAUGCAGCCAUGCCGCGUGUGUGAAGAAGGCCUUCGGGUUGUAAAGCACUUUCAGCGAGGAGGAAGGUUGGUAGCUAAUAACUGCCAGCUGUGACGUUACUCGCAGAAGAAGCACCGGCUAACUCCGUGCCAGCAGCCGCGGUAAU